rnacentral:misc_RNA from 1 species
UCCGGUUUGUCACCGGCAGUCUCAAUAGAGUGCCCUUGCGUAGCAACUAUUGAUAAGGGUUGCGCUCGUUGCGGGACUUAACCCAACAUCUCACGACACGAGCUGACGACGGCCAUGCAGCACCUGUGUUCUGGCUCUCUUUCGAGCACUCCCAAAUCUCUUCGGGAUUCCAGACAUGUCAAGGGUAGGUAAGGUUUUUCGCGUUGCAUCGAAUUAAACCACAUCAUCCACCGCUUGUGCGGGUCCCCGUCAAUUCCUUUGAGUUUUAAUCUUGCGACCGUACUCCCCAGGCGGAAUGCUUAAAGCGUUAGCUGCGCCACUAGUGAGUAAACCCACUAACGGCUGGCAUUCAUCGUUUACGGCGUGGACUAC